rnacentral:rRNA from 1 species
UACGUAGGGGGCUAGCGUUGUCCGGAAUCAUUGGGCGUAAAGCGCGUGUAGGCGGUUCGGUAAGUCCGCUGUGAAAGUCGGGGGCUCAACCCUCGGAUGCCGGUGGAUACUGUCGGGCUUGAGUACGGAAGAGGCGAGUGGAAUUCCUGGUGUAGCGGUGAAAUUCGUAGAUAUUGGGAAGAACACCGGUGGCGAAGGCGGCUCACUGGCUCAUUACUGACGCUCAGGCGCGAUAGCGUGGGGAUCAAACAGG